rnacentral:rRNA from 1 species
GGCGAACGGGUGAGUAACACGUGAGUAACCUGCCCUUGACUUUGGGAUAACUUCAGGAAACUGGGGCUAAUACCGGAUAGGAGCUCCUGCUGCAUGGUGGGGGUUGGAAAGUUUCGGCGGUUGGGGAUGGACUCGCGGCUUAUCAGCUUGUUGGUGGGGUAACGGCUUACCAAGGCAACGAUGCGUAGCCGGCCUGAGAGGGUGGACGGCCACAUUGGGACUGAGAUACGGCCCAG